CUAAUAGGCCAAUGUUAUUCCAGUUUGAAAAACUAGAGACUGGAUAAAUGGCAAACACAUAACACUCUGCUUCUUUAUGAUGGCAAUUUCCUUUGUCCAAUCCCCCAUGAGCACAACCCUCACUUUCCUCCAUUCUCUCUCCUCCUCCCCUUUCCUCCACCGUCACCGCCGCCGCCUCUUAUCCACCUCACCACCCCUUUCCCUUCCCUUAAAGCCCCUUUCAUUUACUCCCUUAUCCACUUUACCCCAACAAGUUCUGUUUUCAUCCCAUGAAACCCAAGACAAUAACAAUUUGGACAUUUCUUCAUCUGGGUAUCCUGAAAGUUUCAAUUUUGACGAGUCUUUUGAUUCUACUGAGCUGAAAAAGUUUGAAACACCGGCCGUUGAAGUUAGUGAACUAGAGGACAUUCCUGACCAAUGGCGUAGGUCAAGAUUAGCUUGGCUUUGUAAGGAACUUCCAGCACAUAAAACACCUACUAUGGUUCGGAUUCUUAAUGCACAGAGGAAAUGGCUUAAACAAGAAGAUGCUACUUAUAUUGCUGUUCAUUGUAUGCGUAUUCGUGAAAAUGAAGCUGCUUUUCGGGUUUACAAAUGGAUGAUGCAGCAACAUUGGUUUCGAUUUGAUUUUGCUCUAGCUACAAAGCUAACAGAUUACUUGGGUAAGGAACGAAAGCACUUGAAGUGCCGAGAGAUUUUUGAUGACAUUAUUAACCAGGGACGAGUGCCGCCUGAAUCUACAUUCCAUAUUCUCAUCAUUGCCUAUCUUAGUUCACCUGGCCCAUCAGAGUUAGAUGAAGCGUGUAGCAUCUACAAUCGCAUGGUGCACUUGGGAGGUUAUAAGCCUCGGCUUAACUUACACAAUUCUCUGUUUAAAGCUCUUUUGGGGAAGAAACCAGGCUCCAGUAAACACUUCCUGAAACAGGCAGAAUUUAUAUAUCAGAAUUUAACUUCCUCAGGAUUGAAUAUACACAAAGAUAUUUUUGGUGGUCUUAUAUGGCUUCACAGUUAUCAGGAUGUGGUGGAUAUGGAAAGAAUUGCUGCGCUAAGAGCAGAGAUGCGAUCAAGAGGAAUUCAAGAGAGCAAAGAGGUACUCGUGUCAGUCUUAAGAGCUUGCUCAAAGGAUGGGGAUCUGGAGGAAGCCGAACGAACUUGGGCAAAACUCCUCUCCGUUGAUCGUAGUCCUCCUUCACAAGCUUUUGUAUAUAAAAUGGAAGUCUAUGCAAAGAUCGGAGAGCCUAUGAAAUCUUUGGAAGUAUUUAGAAGGAUGCAGAAACAACUGAGUUCCACCUCCGUUGCUGCAUACCAUAAGAUAAUAAAGGUGUUGUCUAAAUCUCAAAAACUAGAUCUUGCAGAGUCUAUCAUGUCCGAGUUCAUAAACAGUGGUAUGAAGCCGCUGAUUCCAUCAUUCAUCGAUUUGAUGGGAAUGUAUUCAAUUGCAGGCUUACAUGAGAAACUGGAGUCUACCUUUCUCUGUUGCCGUAAAGUCUGUGGUCCAAAUCAGACGGUUUUUAAUAUUUAUUUGGAUUCCUUGGUGCAUACUGGCAAUCUGAACCGGGCUGAAGAAAUCUUCAAUGAAAUGCGUGGUGAUGUUGCAAUUAGUCUUGAUUCUCGUUCUUGCAACAGUAUUUUGAGAGGCUAUUUGACCUGUGGAGAGUAUGUGAAGGCAGAAAAGAUAUAUGAUUUGAUGCGCCAAAAGAAGUACGACAUUGAGAUUGAAUCUUCACUGAUGGAAAAACUUGACUUUGUUCUAAGCUUGCGGGAGAAAGUAGUCGAAGAACCUAUUCGGCUGAAGCUCACGAAAGAACAACGAGAGGUUUUGAUGGGGUUGCUUCUCGGGGGUUUGCAAAUUAGAUCAUAUGGAGAGAGGAGGAGGAGAGUACACGCAAUUCAUUUUGAGUUCAAUGAAGAGUCGAGGAUCCAUGCCAUUUUAAAGGGACACCUACACGCUGAAUUUCAUGAGUGGUUAGGCUCUCAUGAUAUGAUGGUGGAUGGCUCUGAUGACAUUCCUAGUUCCUUUACUACCAUCUCACAUUCUUGUUUUACUUUCUAUGCUGAUCAGUUCUGGCCCAAUGGACGUCCUGGAAUACCAAAACUUAUACAUAGAUGGCUGUCACCUUGUGUUCUUGCUUAUUGGUACAUGUAUGGCGGUUACAGGACAUCUUCUGGUGAUAUUCUAUUGAGAGUAAAGGGAAGUCGAGAGGAAGUUGUGAGUAUUGUAAAAGCGCUGAAAGCCAAAUCAUUAGGCUGCCGAGUAAAAAAGAGGGGGAGGGUCUUUUGGAUUGGUUUUCUGGGGAACAAUGCUACAUGGUUCUGGAAAGUGGUAGAGCUUUAUAUUCUUGAUAAAUUAAAGGAUCUCCUUAAAGCGGGUGGCAACUCAGACGGAUCCCUAGAAAUCCAAAAUAUCAAUUUCGACAGUGGGUCGGAGUCUGAGGAGAAAAAUUCCGAUUACAGCGAUGCUGACACGUCAUAGGGCCUCUUCUCAUUGAUGUACUGUUCUCUAUGCCUUUAUUGCAAGGUGUAAUAGGUUAUUUGUGGUUAAAAUGUUGCUCCAGAAUUCUGGCUGAUAAGGCGCUCUGGUGCCUUCUUCUGAUAGCCAGCUGAACUCAAGUCUCCAUCGAGGAAAAUAGAUGAGAACAGAGAGAUUUCCUGUAACUUAAUAUGCUGCAAUUUAACGGAUCUCCAGAAUCUCUUACAAACUUUAACUGCAACUGUGAAUUACUCUAAUGUGCUUAAGUUUUUAGCUCAAUGUUUUACCAUGAAACUGCACACAUUCAGAUUUUUGCUAAGCGAUGUGCGUCAGAGAAGCCACAGCUGAACGAUAGGGGUUGGCUCUGUUUCCAUCGUCCAGUACCGUGGUGAAGAACUUCAAAUGCAUUCAGCUGGUCUAAAAAGGCAGCUUGGUGCACUAAGCUGUUUCUGGAAAAAGAGCCGGACCACAAGGGUCUGUUGUACGUAGCCUUACCCUGCAUUUCUGCAAGAGGCUAUUUCCUGUGACCUCUUGGUCACAUGGCAGCAGCUUUACCAGUUACGCCAAGGCUCCCCUUCGGCCGGUAAAAACAGAUAUUGCAGUAUAUAAGAAAUUAGCUACAGGUUUGUUGCUUUUCUUUUUUUGUUUGCAUCCUUUCAAUUGCUGCACUCCUAGUAUUUGAAUCACCACUUGUGCUUCUGAACUUUUCACUUUUUAGUGUUGAAUAAAAUCAUGUUAAUAAUACUAAGGUGGUAUCAUUACUUGCCAUCUCUAUAGCUUUGUAUCUUCAUGUUAAGGACUUCAGUUAUAAACUAUCAAGAUAGUGUUGUACUUGUGUUA